AUGGACAUGGCACCCAUGCUGGCCACCCUCUGGUUUCGUCCCCAUAGGAGUUCUGCCUCCCAGCACCCCUCUGUCACGGUGACCAAGAGGGCUAGGGGGCAGGGAAGGCGAGAAGAGGGAGGAGACUCUGCUGUGACUCAUAGCAAAGUGAGAGCUUCUUCCCUCCUCUCUGCACCCCAAAUACGGCUGCAUUAGAACUAAGCAAGCUAUUGAUACCACACUGACCUAAAAAUAGCAAAUGGCGAAGUCACUGGCCUAGGAGGCUGGAGAAUCUUAACACCAGGUGGCCCAGGGCAUACCCAGAGCUUCUGGCAACCUAAAUCCGGAAAAAGUGGUAACGGUUCCAUCUGGUCAAAUGACAAAAGCCUAAAUUUGUAUCAAGUAGUGGCUGAUAACAGUCAAUUUCUACCUAGAAGGCACUACGUUGGAUUUAGGUGUUCAGGGUUCUUUAAGUCAUGCUCUGAAUGAAUAAGCAAUGAUUCCAAAGUAUGUGAAGCUAGCCUCACAGUUUGAAGUCCUUGAAAUCACACUUUCCAAACAGCUUCAAAUGAAGAACAAGCUCAUACAAACUCAAGAGUGCUUGAUCGAUGAGCAACUCCAGCAAGUGAAGACAUCACAGUCUGGGGCAGUGCGUGGCUGACCCCUUUACCUGUUGAACUAGCUGCUUUGGCCCUUGUUUCAAGGGAAAAGGGCUCUAGAGGAAUUGGGGGUUUGGUGCUCUUAAGGUUUGAGGUCUUUGGGUCUCUGGGUUUGGUCAGGCCCUUAGAGACUGUGGGCUGAGGCUGAGCAAGGGUAGCCUUGGGACAUGUCUCAAACUCUGGUGAAGUCAAGAAAGGCCACAGAGUGGAAAAUCCAGAAUCUACAUCCCAUUCAUGCCGGAGCCCUGUUCUAUCCACUCUCUGAGCAGAUGUCCCCCUAUGAAGGCCCAAGAGACUCCUGAAAAGCAGGCACGAAUAGACCGCAGAGUUAAACAGUGCAAGGGCAUGCUGUGGACCCGCCCACUUUGGGUACAUCUUUUGCCUUCCCUGUGAAUCAGAAAAUCAAUGGGAUAGACUAUGCCUCACAGGGCCACCCUAGGGAUCGAAUAAGGUGACGGAUACCAAAGUGCUUCAUUAACAAUAAAGUGCCAAAAAGAGUUA
rnacentral:antisense_RNA from 1 species